GGCAGAGCUUGGAUGUGAACCAUACUGUUACCCGGUUGCUGGGAACAGCUAUCACGUGAGGGCUGUGUGUGUGUGUUCCACCUGUCCUCACUUGCUCCUCCUAAGGUAGCUGGUCCUGUGCCCAACUUUGAUUCAUUUCUAGUGAAAAACAACCUGACCUGAAGAUAAGAAUUCACUCCAGCAAGAUCAUCGGGUAUGAUAAUGUGAAACUCUCAGAGUUCAUGUUAACUAGUGACUUAUUGCACUCAAGAGUUCUCAUGUGUGAGGAGGUGUGAGCUUUGGAAGGAAGCAGGCACCUCUAGAGAUUUUUCCAUGCAGACAGGGAUCCAGCUCAGGACAGCGGGAGCUCACAGAUCUGCUGGGGGGGGGGGGUUGCAGAAAUGGAGAGCCAUAUGAUGUCAUUGUAUUAUUUUCAUGUCAUCCCACUGCAACUGAAAUCUGGACCCCAGGAAGUUGCUGACCUGAUUCCAUUACCACAAGGUCCUUUGGUAGCAGCUGGCUUGGGGAAGCUGGUUGCUAAAGUGCCCCAUGAACUUCCACAUCUAUAAGCUAUCGAAGCUUAGUCAAGGGUGUUAACCUGGGAAGACCUAAUUUUCCUCUAGAAUCACACAUGUCAGAGUAUAUGAAAA